rnacentral:misc_RNA from 1 species
CAACCCUCAGCCCCCCCGGGGACUGGUGUUGGGGAUCGGCCCGCCUCGCGCGGCGCCGUCCCCGAAAUACAGUGGCGGUCUCGCUGCAGCCUCCCCUGCGUAGUAGCACACCUCGCAUCGGAGAGCGGCGCGGCCACGCCGUGAAACCCCAACUUCUGAUAG